AUAAGAAGUAAGAUCUGCCCGCUGAUUUUUGAAGGGCUGCGGUAUUUUGACCGUACGAAGGUAGCAUAAUCAUUUGUUCUUUAAUUGGGGACUGGUAUGAAUGAUUUUUAACUGGGAGUUAUUGUUUUUAUUUUAUUAGGUGAAUUUUACUUUUGGGUGAAGAGGCUUAAAUAAUAUAAAAAGACGAGAAGACCCUAUGAAGCUUUAUAAUUUUGGUUAUUUUUAUUAUGGGGUAAGUAUAGUUGUUAUUAUUGGGUUGGGGCGAUUUGAUAUUAGCUAUUUAGGAUUAGUGCUUUAUUUGAGAUUUGUGAUCUGAGUGUUGUAUUCAAUUAUUAGAAUAAGUUACUCUAGGGAUAACAGCAUAAUUUAUUUGGAUAGUACAUAUUGAUAAGUG
rnacentral:rRNA from 1 species